UCUUCUCUACUUCCUUUAGGUAUUCUAGUACUCUUCUCUACGAAUCAGUCUAUUUUUUAUGAUUUUCUAUUUUUUUCCAUACAUUUUAUAACUAGAUUUGGAUUGUUUUAUUCAAUACAUUUUUCCAUUUCUAUGAUUUUAUUCCAUACAUUUUAUGUUGUAUUGUUUGUUUUAUAUGUAUGUAACAGACUUCUAUCAAAUGUUUGAUUAUAAUAUUUGAUAUUCUGAAUGUAACAGAUAUUUUAUUAUAAUGUUUAAUUUGUUGGUCGAUGCUUCUUCUUGGAUUUAUUGAGAGUUGGUAGUCAUGUAAUGUGAGGGUUUAAUUAGUUAGGUAGAUUGGGAAGGGAUGGAUCCAUACAAUCCUCUAUUUUUAUUACAUUGUCACAUACGAUUCUAUUUUUAUUACAUUCUCUUUAGACUUUAUAAGCAAUUUUUUUAUUUUUAUUCCAUACAAUCCUCUAUUUUAUAUUUUUAUUACAUUAUGCAAACCCCUAAAACGUACAACAUCAUAACUUGGCUCUGUACAUCAGUUCAUCAGGUAUUUCAAAUCUUCUAGAUAUCAGUUCAUCAUGUGUUUUCUAGACUAACAGAAUAAGUCCAGUCGUUACAUUUUUUUAAUGAUGAUCUGAUAAAAUAAAUAACGUAAAACUAUGAAGUUCUACUUUAGUAUAAUGCCAAAAACAUAUCUAUAUGCAUUUUUAUAAUAUUCCUUCAAUUGGUUUUAUUUUAUGGAUAUUUGGUUCUUCAGAUAUAUUAUUGAUCCAUAGUUUAUUCACUUUGUGUUAAUUUUCUGCAUAGUUCAUUGACUUCAUUCAGUCAUUGUCAUUCACUCCUUUUCAAACAAAAUGCUUCAUUUUGAAAGUGACAUUAUUUAUUAUAUCUUGCAUAAGUUGCAUUGCAGAAUUUUUGUGUCACUACUUGUUAUGUAGCCAUUUGCAAUAAUAUGAUCUAGCCCUAUAUAUUAAUUCUUAUGACUCACAAGUCAUGAUGAUGCAUAUUUCUUAUUUUUCCACCUUUCUGUUCAACCAAAUCUAAAUAUUUAGAUACAUAAAUCGAUGGUUUUUUUGAAACCAGAAGCCUUGUUUCAACAUGUGAAACUCCUUUUCAACCAUUUCUAAUGGCCUGCAUUCAAUUCAAAUUCUUAUCUUGCGACCCCUUUUUGUCUUUCUAUUUUUUUUCCACCUUCCUAUAUCUGUACUAUCCUUCCUGCGAAUACUGGUACUUUUUUCUUUAAAUUCUGGAGUUUUUUUCUUCUGUAAAUUCUGGUGCUUUUUUCUAUAUUUAAUUGAGAUUUGCUUUGUUUUUGGUGGUUUCAUUUUGGUUCAUUAUUUUUAUUAUUGAUUAUAUUAUGAACUUUACUGUGUUUUUUCUUAUGGAGGGAUUGUCAAAUGAAGAUGUUGCUUAGCCUUUGUUACUUACAUCUAUUCAAUAUGGAAGUAACAAUUUCUUCAUUUCCUUCAUUGUGAUAGGUAACAGAUAUUCAAUUUCAUACUGAUGGUUGAGGUCAUGCUCAUCAUCGUUUGUGAUCACUCAGUUAUUUAUGUUUGGAUUGGAAAAAAUGUAGAUCCCAAAAAUAGGAUGCAAGCACAUAAUAUUGCAAAGGUAUAUUUUAGUAUUUUACAAUUGAAGGAAAGCUAUUCUUGCCAUUUUCAAUAUGGAUGUAAUUUUUUUAUUCCAGGUUUUAAUGUAAAAUGUUUGGUUCCAUCAGAAAUUUUUGGAAAGUGAUUUUCUUUAAGAAAAAGUGACACACAAGAAACACCAAUUUUCAUUAUCAUAGAAGAAAAUAAACCAUCCUUUUUAUACGCUUCUUUACAUGGAAUUCAACGAAAUCAACAAUUAGUAUUGUUCAGAUUAUUUUGGUUUUUGGUGAGAGAGGAUCUCGCAUCCUGGGACAUCACCAAAAAUCCACAUCCCAGCACGCAAAGAGGGGGGAAUACUGAUAGUACAAGGUCCAACACACAAACCAUAGUACUAAAAGACGUAUCCCAAAGUAUCUAAUACGCAGAGGAGGGGGGAGUACUGGUGAUACAGUAUCCCGAACACGGUCACUACCUACCAGCAACUAGAAGUCCGGAUAGCCUAAGAUGAGUUAAGGUAUCUAUUCUUGGGUUGGGGAGGUCCCAGGUCGAAUCCUAGGAAGAUCGACUUUCCUGAGGAUCGACUUCCCUGGGAUCGACUUCUGAAUAAAGUCGAUCACCAGGAAAGUCGACCCCCAGAAAGUCGAUCUCUGGAAAGUUGAUCUCGGGCCCCGAUCUGAUCAGUUAGGCAGUUAGGCGGUUACUACCCAAAUGACCAGAUUACCCCCAUAAGAACCCCUAUAAAUAGAGGGCACCCCCCACUCAUUGGAGGCAAGUCAUUUGGAGUAGAAGAAUUCCUAGCGAAGCAGAGCUCUGCGCACUUGAGUUCCGGUCCGGUUUCCCGCGGAGUUCCCCGCUUGGCGCUUGCUUGCGCGUCUUGGAGUACUGGUCGGGUUUCACCCCCAUCAGUUGGCGCCGUCUGUGAUUCAAAGAUACUCACGACAAAAGCUCCUCGACUUUUUCGAAAAAAGUGAUCGACUUUUUUCCAAGUCGCCAGCUAGGGAGUCUUACGAGGAGAUCAGCCAGCAAGGGAUCGACUUUUCAGAAGAUCGACUUUUUCUCCCAAGGAAAAAAGUCGAUUCCUCAAGGAGCUAGGUUUUCAGGCUACGACUUUCAAGGAAUCAUCCAAGUGCACCAGGGAUCGACUUUUUUGAAGAUCGACUUUCUCCAAGCAAAAGUCGAACACUUUUUUUUCAAGAAAAGUCGAACACUCCAGGAUGGUGGUAACACGAAGCACUUCCCAAGGAGGAGGAGCAAAUUCUCAGGAGGCGCCAGAGCAACAGCCUGGCAACUCAAAAACUAAAAGGCCAGUGGGUCGGCCACCUAAGGCCAAUAAGAACAAAAGAACUCCCACAGGACCUGAGGCUGAACCCGAAGGUGAGCCCGAGCAAACUCCCCAAGCUUCAGCAGGAGGGGAAAAUCUGAACAUCACGGUUCAAGCGAUAGCUGAGGCCAUCCGACUCUUUGCUGAAAAGGAGAAACCUUCGGAAGAACAACCUUAAAAGGGGGACCCACAAGCAGCAAGGAACCAAGGGCUGCAGCAUCAGAAACCACUCGCGGGUUCAUAAAGAUGCCUAUAGAGGAGCUGGAAAAAAUGAAGGAAACCAUAGCAAAAAUGAGCGAGAAAAUAAAGGAUAUUGAAAAAUCUAAAGCAUCAAUAUACCAUUCAAAAGCUCAGACCUCAAAGCAGGCCAAGGUGCAACAGGAAGUGUCAAGUCAUAGAACAACACACUCCAGCGCACCACUACCUCACAAACCAGAGGAGCAACCUAAACCUCUUCUCAAAAAACCCGUAUAUGAAGAAAGCACGGGAGACACAGAAGGAGGAGGCGAUGUCCCAAACUGGCUAGUAGGCAUUGAUGCCCUGCACAAAUCGCUAAUGGUAAAACCAGCACCUCUGAAAUUCAGACUACCCAGGCUGCAGAUUUAUGAUGGGAAGAUGGACCCAGCAGACCACAUAAAUAUGUUUGUGGGGGCAAUGCAAUGGGCCACAUCAAGGGAUGACAUCCUAUGUAGAGCAUUCCCAGGAACAUUGAAAGGGCCUACAUACAGAUGGUUCGUUGAACUGCAGCCAGGGAGCAUAACAAGUUUCGAGGACUUGAAAAAGAAAUUCGUCGCCCAACACUGUGGAAACACAAGGGUCAGAAAGUGCACGGAAUCACUGUUCGCAAUCAAACAGAACGGAGACACGCUUCGGAAUUAUACAACUAAAUUCACGGAAGCCAUGCAGAAAAUCCCCGAUCUGAAUACAACAAUCGCAAUAUGCGCAUACUUAAAAGGGUUAGACAUGAACACGCCAUUAGCAGUAAAGCUAAAUGUCAGUAAUGUAAAAUGCAUGGAAGAUCUGCUAACAAAGGCCCAAAAAUAUAUAAAUUCUGAAGAGUAUAAGAAAGAAAAAGAAAAAGAAAGAGGUGUCAUAAGCAACAAAAAAGCAUAUGAAGCACCAAAAAGAAGUUUCAGAAGUUUGAGAAAGGAGAAUCAUCCUGGAGACCAAAACACGAUGGAAAGGUCUAACGGACAUCUGAGGAGUUCGGAAAAUCAAGGUAUCCCAAGUACAAAGACUUAGGAUUCACGGUUUUCAGCACUCCAAAAGAGGAAAUCUACAAUGAAGAAAAAGGAAGAAUAAGGUUUCCUCAACCAGAAGAGUUAAACCCUGCAACAAAAGAGGCUCGAACAAGGAGGAACAUGUAUUGCAAGUUCCACAAGGAUUACGGGCACAAUACAGAAAACUGCAGGGAGCUAAGUACCUUCCUAGACACGCAAGUGAAGGAAGGCAAGCUGAAGCAAUACAUAAACAAAAUAGAAAGGGGGCGACAAGGCUGCAAGGACCCAAAAAACAAGGGUAAGCGCCAACGCUCAAGGAGUCCCGAUUCAGACACUGACCACAAAAGAAGGGUAAUCAAUUUAAUCUUCGGUGGAGGAUCAGUAGGAGAAAGCAGAAGUUACUCGCGCAAGGUAAUGUAGACUACAACGGUACCAAAAUCUAAGAAAAGAUCGUACCCAAGCGAGGAAAUAAGCUUCUCUGAGGAAGAUCUGGACAAUGUUGUCAGCCCACAUGAGGAUCCACUAAUGAUACAAGUGGAUAUAGGGGAUGAUUUAAGUCUGAACAAAGUAAUGGUGGACAAUGGCAGCUCAGUAGAUAUACUAUACCUAGCUGCGUUCGAAAAAAUGGGCUACAAAGUGGAUCACCUAACCCCGGCAAAGGAAGCCAUUUAUGAGUUCACAAACACAAAGGCCCCAGUAGUAGGAGCCAUCGAUCUACAGAUAUCCCUGGGAAAAAGAAACGGGAGAGUAUCACGCACAACACACUUCAUCGUGGUCAAUAUAGACUCUCCGUUCAGUGGGAUCUUGGGCAGACCAAGCAUUCACGGUUUCAAGGCAAUACCAUCAUCUUACCACCAAUGCUUCAGGUACCCAGGAAAAGAUGGCAAAAUGGCAACAGUUUUUGGAGCACAGAAAGACUCCAGAAACUCGUACAGGAAGGCAACUAAAAUAGCCAAACCUAUAACCCUGUACAUUCAAGAAAGAGAGGAGGAAGAAGACACAACCUCAUCUAAUGAAGUUGAGGAGGUCAAACUCUCAAAAGGAGGAGUCCUAAUAGGCACAUCUUUAUCCUCCGAACUGAAAAAAUCACUACUGCAACUGUUAGAAACCCAUGUGCACACAUUUGUAUGGGAAGGGGAAGCACCCUCACAAGUACAGCGUACUAUAACGUGCCAUGAACUCAACAUAGACAGUAGCUUUACUCCUGUACGGCAGAAGCGAAGAAUACUCGCAGCUGAAAGAAAGGAGGCAGCACAGGCUGAAAUUGAGAAAUUAAUUAAAGCUGGGCACAUCCGGGAAGUUAAAUAUCCAAAGUGGUUAGCAAACCCGGUCAUGGUUAAAAAAUCUAAUGGGAAGUGGAGGAUGUGAUAUCCCGCAACUCAGCUAACAGGGGUAGAAAGCCCCAUCCCCUUUGCAAUGUGGGGAUUAGAUAUUGUGGGAUUAGAUAUUGUGGGACCAUUUCCGGUAUCGACAGGUCAGGCUAAAUUUAUAUUUGUGGCUGUCGAUUACUUCACUAAAUGGGUCGAGGCACUAGCUGUACCCAAGAUAACUCAAGGAGCAGCAACAAAGUUUGUCUUCAAGUGCAUAAUGUGCAGAUUCGGUGUUCCAAUGCACAUAGUGACAGAUAAUGGGACACAGUUUACCGGUGGGGAGUUUACGAGAUUGUGCGAGAACAUGGGCACUAGAAUCCAUUUUUUAUCGGUAUACAGACCACAGGGUAAUGGGCAAGUAGAAGUCACAAACAGAGCCAUCGUUCAGGGACUGAAGAAAAAAGUCGAACAGGCCAAAGGUUCGUGGGCAGAUCUACUACCAGAGAUCCUGUGGGCGUAUAGAACCACUGAAAAGACACCCACCGGAGAAACCCCGUUCUCACUAGCAUAUGGAAUGGAAGCACUAAUCCCAACAGAGCUAAGCAUUCCAACAGUCAGAGUAUUAUCCUAUGACAUGGAAGAAAACAUGAGAUCAUGUGCGACAACUCUGGAAGGUGGGCAAGCAGGGUUCCGCGGGAAAAUCAGGCCAGACAGGGGCGCAAGGAGUAUGUUUCGGCUAGGACAAAACUGGAUAAUAGUUAGCAAAAGCGCGUGACAACCUCCGUGGAAGCAUAGAUACAACCUCGCAGGCCUAGAGAGGGGGGGAAUACUGGUGAGAGAGGAUCUCGCAUCCUGGGACAUCACCAAAAAUCCACAUCCCAGCACGCAAAGAGGGGGGAAUACUGAUAGUACAAGGUCCAACACACAGACCAUAGUACUAAAAGACGUAUCCCAAAGUAUCUAAUACGCAGAGGAGGGGGGAGUACUGGUGAUACAGUAUUCCGAACACGGUCACUACCUACCAGAAACUAGAAGUCCGGAUAGCCUAAGAUGAGUUAAGGUAUCUAUUCUAGGGUUGGGGAGGUCCCAGGUCGAAUCUUAGGAAGAUCGACUUUCCUGAGGAUCGACUUCCCUGGGAUCGACUUUUGAGUAAAGUCGAUCACCAGGAAAAGUCGACCCCCAGAAAGUCGAUCUCUGGAAAGUCGACCCCUGGACCCAAUCUGAUCAGUUGGAUAGUUAGGCGGUUACUGCCAAAAUGACCAUAUUACCCCCAUAAGAAUCCCUAUAAAUAGAGGGCACCCCCCACUCAUUAAAGGCAGGUCAUUUGGAGCGAAAGGAUUCCUAGCGAAGCAGAGUUCUGCGCACUUGAGUUCCGGUCCGGUUUCCCGCGGAGUUCCCCGCUUGGCGCUUGCUUGCGCGUCUUGGAGUACUGGUCGGGUUUCACCCCCAUCAGUUUUCUAUGCUUUAUUUGUUAGAUGCAGUUUUGAAUGAUAUUAAGAUUGUGAAUUGAUCGAUGAUGCAUUUGACCCUACAUGAUUUCUAAUUUUAUAGUUAUUUAUUUUUCUGUAGAUGGAUGGAAAUACUUUUGAGAGAAACCUUUUAAUAGUAACUCUAACCUUAAUUGUAAAAUGAAUUUCAAUGAUUAAUCUUAAUUAAGAACUUUCAUCUUAGUUAGCUUAAAUAUUUUCAAUUUUGCAUGACUCACAUAUGAUAUCUCACUUUUUACAGCUGAAACCAAAGAGUCGAGCUAACGGACAAAAUACAGCUAGCGUUUUAUCAUAUGGAUGAAAUUUAUUAUUUAUUCAUAUUGAUGAAGUUCUGCUGCAUCAACUGACAAAACACAGCGUUUUAGAAGCAUGUCAUUUAGUCCUAAUAGAGUUCGAGUAAGAGGAAGGUCUCCUGCCUUUAAUGCAUUAGUUACCAAAUUUGAGAAACCAAAUCGAAAUCUUUCAACUUCUCCCAUGUAAUUUGGUCAUUGCUAAAUCAUAGUCGAUGACUUCUAUGUCUUCUACUUUUGAAAAGUCAAAAGAAAAUCUUAUACCAAGACAAUCUAAAGGUGUUCAUAUAUCUUUCGUACAUAUUAGUUAAUUUAAAUAUGGAUUUCGUUGUUUAGGAUUAUUUCCAGAAUGAGUAAGGUGUGUUGCAGCUUGCAGGAUUAUUGAGUGUUAUGUAAUGGAUAGAGUUCUUCCGUCUUCUGGUGAGCUUUUUCAAUUUUAAUCACCAACUAAUGUUUAUAAUAUGAUAACAACAAUAGCUCAUGAUUUGUUUGUACAGAUAAUGGAUUUUGUGAGCUCUGUUCACGGUAGAUUUCUGCGGAAGAGGAGAGUUUGCGGACCGUCAAGUUAUACCAGUUUCAAAAAUAUAGAUAUUAAUGCUUGGAUUCUUUAAAGUAAUACAUAAAUUUGUAUAAAAAGUACAAUUAAAUUGUUGAUAUGUAUGAAGAGUUGUUGUUUU
rnacentral:lncRNA from 1 species